rnacentral:rRNA from 1 species
AGAGUUUGAUCCUGGCUCAGAACGUACGCUGACGGAAUGGAUUAGGCAUGCAAGUCGAACGCUUGAGCUCUUCGGAGCAAUAAAGUGGCGAACGGGUGAGUAAGGCGUGAAUCACCUACCCUGUUGAGGGGGACAACCAUUCGAAAGGAUGGCUAAUACCCCAUACGCUCCUUCGGGAGGAAAGCUGGCUCUGCUGGCGCUGCAGGAGGGGUUCACGUGCUAUUAGCUUGUUGGUGGGGUAAUGGCCUACCAAGGCAAUGAUGGCUAGCCGGCCUGAGAGGGUGUCCGGCCACACUGGGACUGAGACGCUGCCCAGACUCCUACGGGAGGCUGCAGUCGAGAAUCUUCCACCAAUGCGCGAAAGCGUGAUGGAGCAAUUCCGUGUGUAGGAUGAAGGCCUUAGGGUUGUAAACUACUGUUGGAAGGGCGUAAUCCCUGGGUGUUAAUACCACUCCAGGUUGAACUCCCUUCGGAGGAAGCAGCGGCUAAAUUCGUGCCAGCAGCCGCGGUAAUACGAAUGCUGCAAGCGUAGUUCGGAAUCACUGGGCAUAAAGAGCACGUAGGCGGCCAUUUAAGUCAGCUGUGAAAUCCCUCGGCUUAACCGAGGAACUGCAGCUGAUACUGAUUGGCUUGAGUACGGGAGGGGAGAGCGGAAUUCCUGGUGGAGCGGUGAUAUGCAUAGAGAUCAGGAGGAACGCCGGUGGCGAAAGCGGCUCUCUGGACCGUUACUGACGCUGAGGUGCGAAAGCUAGGGGAGCGAACAGGAUUAGAUACCCUGGUAGUCCUAGCCGUAAACGAUGGGUACUAAGUGGGGGGACUCCCAAGGUCUCCCUGCCGGAGCUAAUGUGUUAAGUACCCCGCCUGG